CACCUCUGGAAUGGCAGGACCGACUGCUUACCUAGCUCCUUACCAUAGGUUUUCCUAUGUUCAUCCAGGAUCUCCAACAGACGGAGCUCUACAAUGUCCCACCUCAUCGUGGCUAGGGAUCUCAGAAGAACUCUAAAGGCAAAUGGAAGCACAAUAAUUACUAUUAAGACAAUGUCAGUAAUAACAGCAAGCAAGAUUAUGUACUGAACCCAAUCCAAAGGGUUUAAUGCGCUUAAAUUAUUUUUUAAUUCACUGGCCAACUCAUCAAUGUUCCAAGUAUC